rnacentral:lncRNA from 1 species
CCCGCUCAGGAGCGCGGGCCUUGCGCCAAGAGCCUGCGCAGCCCACCCUGCAAAAUGGCGGCAGCAACUCUUAGCUGGGUUAGGUUUUUAAUCCUGGGUGGGCCUGAGAAGCUUUUAACUACAUCAGAAAUGGAAGCUUUAACUUAAAUUGACCCAGACUUUUGGCACCUAAAAAUGGGACUAUUCUAAUACCUUGAAAGUGACAGAAGCGCCAAGCAACGCUCAACACACUGCGUGGAUGGAGAAGGGAGAAUUGACAAGGUAAAGUUUAAGUUUAAAGAAAGAAAAAUCUGUUUGCUUCUUUUCUCCUACCAAGUCAGGCCUGCGAAAUAUGCCACAUUCACACAAGAACCCCAAGUCAAACUCAAACUAGAUGGAAAAAAAAAAAGAGGCAAGGCUGAUGAGACUCGGUGGUGAAGUGCAUUGCCAGGGCCACAUGACUCUGAAAUUCUCUCAACUCCACCCUCCCUGGCUCUGUUCCUGGUUUGAAUUCCCUCAUAGAACCAACAUGCAUAUUCUUUCUCUUCAUUUCCAAGGGCUGAAGGGUAAGGGGUGGGGGUAGGAGACCUGUCUUUCUUCAAACUGUCAAAGAAAAGUCCAGAGAUUCUCCUGAUUGGAUUACCUUUGGUCAAGGUUCCCUCAGUGCUCCCCAUCUAUGUCCUGGGAAAUACUACUAGGUUCCUUGUUCCUCUGUCAUCCAGUCCCUGAGGGAGGGGAAGGGGGAUUACAGCAAAGGAUUUAGGCCACUCAGGGCACAUCCUGGAACUGAAGAAAAAGUCAGUCCUACUCAAGUCAUGUGACUGGAAAGUUCAGGAUCCUCUAGGACAUGGAGUAGAUGUUGGGGAGAUAACUUCAGGGUGUGUCUUAUCUCAGUAGAUACGUUUAUUGUUGGUUGAUUCAAUUAAUCGACUAAACAAUAACUAUAGAAACCAGUUUUUUGUUGUUGUUGUUUUUGUUUGUUUGGUUUUUUUUUUGGUCUUUUCGCCAUUUCUUGGGCCACUCCCACGGUAUAUGGAGGUUCCCAGGCUGGGGGUCUAAUCGGAGCUGUAGCCACCGGCCUACGCCAGAGCUACAGCAAUGUGGGAUCCGAGCCUCGUCUGCGACCUACACCACAGCUCACGGCAAUGCCGGAUCCUUAACCCACUGAGCAAGGGCAGGGAUCGAACCUGCAACCUCAUGGUUCCUAGUCGGAUUCGUUAACCACUGCGCCACAACGGGAACUCCCAGAAACCAGUUUUUAAGUAUUUUCUAGGACUCCCUGGUGGUCUAGUGGGUUAAGGGCCCAGUGUUGUCACUGCUGUGGUUGGGGUCACUGGUGUGGUGCAGGUUUGAUGCCUGGCCUGGGAAUGUUCACAUGCUGUAGGCGUGGCCAAGUAAAUAAAUGAAAUACUUUCUAGGGAGUUCCUACUGUGGCUUAGUGGGUUAAGAACCCAACUAGUAUCCACAAGGAUGCAGGUUCGAUCCCUGGCCUUGAUCGGUAGGUUAAGGAUCCAGCAAUGCUCUGAGCUGUGAUGUAGGUUGCAGAUGCAGCUUGGAUCUCAUGUUACUGUGGCUGUGGCAUACACCUGCAGCUGCAGCUCCAGUUCAACCCCUAGCCUGGGAACUUCAUAUGCCACAUGUGCAGCCCUAAAAAGCAAAAAAAAAAAAAAAAAAAAAAAAAAA